GCCUGGAUAGCUCACUUGGUUUGAGCAUGGUGCUGAUAACACCAAGGUUGCAGGUUCAAUCCCCGUAUGGGACA
rnacentral:tRNA from 1 species